rnacentral:sRNA from 1 species
CUGACAGCCCUGGAGAGUGAUGUCCUCAUUUAACCAUGGAACAGGUGCAGCAGGGGCAAGCCCUCUCUGUACUGUCCCCUGCUAGUAAAUCUCUUCUCUAGCUUUUAGGGGUCUUCUCUGGUCUUUUCAGUCUUUGACCCCU